AGGAUGAAUACUUUCAAGUAAACAAAAUGUCAACAAAACAUAAUGGAUAUUUUGUAUACAAUGGAAAAUUAGAGCAAAUAUAAGCUGAGUCAAGCAUCAAGAAAUCAACUAGUUUUGGUGUCACAUAAUGUUGGUUAUCAUUGGAUUCUCACAGUCAUUGAUCCAUAUAAGGAGACAGUUUAUUUGUUGGAUUCGCGACCUCCUCCCUCGCCGCCGGCCGCAACCCUCGGUCUAUCUCUUUCCA